UAUAUGUAAGUCUUACUUUUAUUGAUGUACAAUUGUCUUUGUUUUAUACAUAAUAGAGUACAUCGACAUGAAGGGAAAUAAAGAACUAGUAAGGGAAAUAUCCACAAAUAAGGAAAGCUAAUAAUAUACAUUAAGAGGGAGAUAUCUCUACACCAAAUAAGGAGAUAGCAUUGAAGAGGAGGAUCUGCAUAGUAGGAAUAUGG
rnacentral:lncRNA from 1 species